UUUUAUGGAGAGUUUGAUCCUGGCUCAGGACGAACGCUGGCGGCGUGCCUAAUACAUGCAAGUCGAGCGRAAAUUUUAUUGGUGCUUGCACCUUUAAAAUUUUAGCGGCGGACGGGUGAGUAACACGUGGGUAACCUACCUUAUAGAUUGGGAUAACUCCGGGAAACCGGGGCUAAUACCGAAUAAUACUUUUUAACACAUGUUUGAAAGUUGAAAGACGGUUUCGGCUGUCACUAUAAGAUGGACCCGCGGCGCAUUAGCUAGUUGGUGAGGUAACGGCUCACCAAGGCAACGAUGCGUAGCCGACCUGAGAGGGUGAUCGGCCACACUGGGACUGAGACACGGCCCAGACUCCUACGGGA
rnacentral:rRNA from 1 species